AACAAGGAUUCCCCUAGUAACGGCGAGUGAAGCGGGAAGAGCUCAAAUUUGAAAUCUAGUAGCCUUCGGCUGCUCGAGUUGUAAUCUAGAGAAGUGUUUUCCGUGCCGGCCCAUGUACAAGUCCCUUGGAACAGGGCGUCAUAGAGGGUGAGAAUCCCGUCCUUGACAUGGACCCCCGGUGCUCUGUGAUACACUUUCAACGAGUCGAGUUGUUUGGGAAUGCAGCUCAAAAUGGGUGGUGAAUUCCAUCUAAAGCUAAAUAUUGGCGAGAGACCGAUAGCGAACAAGUACCGUGAGGGAAAGAUGAAAAGCACUUUGGAAAGAGAGUUAAACAGUACGUGAAAUUGUUGAAAGGGAAACGAUUGAAGUCAGUCAUGCUCUUUGGUAUUUAUAUCAUUGAGUGGGGUCAACAUCAGUUUUGAGCGAUGGAUAAAGGCACUAGGAAGGUAGCACUCUCGGGUGAACUUAUAGCCCAGCGUCAUAUACAUUGUUUGGGACUGAGGAACGCAGCAUGCCUUUAUGGCCGGGAUUCGUCCACGUACAUGCUUAGGAUGUUGACAUAAUGGCUUUAAACGA
rnacentral:rRNA from 1 species